CUGGAGGUAUCAGAAGUGCGAAUGCUGACAUAAGUAACGAUAAAGCGGGUGAAAAGCCCGCUCGCCGGAAGACCAAGGGUUCCUGUCCAACGUUAAUCGGGGCAGGGUGAGUCGACCCCUAAGGCGAGGCCGAAAGGCGUAGUCGAUGGGAAACAGGUUAAUAUUCCUGUACUUGGUGUUACUGCGAAGGGGGGACGGAGAAGGCUAUGUUGGCCGGGCGACGGUUGUCCCGGUUUAAGCGUGUAGGCUGGUUUUCCAGGCAAAUCCGGAAAAUCAAGGCUGAGGCGUGAUGACGAGGCACUACGGUGCUGAAGCAACAAAUGCCCUGCUUCCAGGAAAAGCCUCUAAGCAUCAGGUAACAUCAAAUCGU
rnacentral:rRNA from 1 species